rnacentral:other from 1 species
UGACCCCUGCCGUGUUCGUGUUCGGCAGAAGUUUCUCUGAGCCAACAGAUAUGAAACGGGAACCUUCUCUUGCUUUGGUGUGCAUGUUCUGGUAUUCUCGGAAAAGCCUAAAGAAGCAAUAAGGUGCCCACCUGUGAAAGCAGGUUCUAGAGAGCCUGCCGACACGGCACCGUGGUGGGGGUAAC